CCCUAUACUGACCCUGAAUAUGGAAGUAGGCUUUUCCAAGUAGUGUCAAGUACCCAUCUAUGGUGUGAACCUGAGCAGGCCAGAUCAGAGCCAGCCACCCUUGCCUACCUUCUCAAGUAUUGAAAGCCCAAGUCUUGCAGCUACCCAGGCACUUCUUAGCUGCUUCCAUGAUGAUUCCCACCCCCACCCCAAUCCCCAUAAUAGAACUCGGAGGUCACUGAGUGCCAGAAAACCUGAAAUUCCUUGAGUUCUCCUCUCCAUCCCUGCCCACGUCCGCUUAGCCCCGCUUCACUGCUCUGAUAUGGUUAACCGUCUUUGAAGAACUUCACCAAAUGCUUUCUUCACCAGGCUCAUGCUAGGAAACGGACGGAUCUGAGAACCACUCAAAGAGGCCGAAUCUUCCUUGAGGAAAGCAAGACCCCGAGACAGUGGUUCUGGAACAGCUCCUCCCUGAGUCAGUGACAUGGGAACCACAUCUGAGUGACUUCACCGAGCCCCCUUCCCUCUUACCUGUGACCUGGAUGAUCGUGUGAAAUCCCUCAAGAACUGAGAACCAUGUAGCAAACGUGUCCCUGAUCAGCCACGACAAACUAUAAAUCAGACAAGACACGCUGGGAGAUGCCAAUAAGGAGAGCUGAGCUGCCAUGGUCCCCACAGGCACAGAGUGGCUUCUCUGGACACAAAAGCAGCACACAAAGGUGGGGCCGCUCUUUCCUUUCUAUAAACUGUGGUAAUACAUCUACUAAAGUUCUGUGGCUCCGGCCAGCAGCCCCUCUCAGAUGGAAAGGCAUGACGGCGUGUGUUGUUAGCCAUCUCCCCAGGCCAGUGUCUCCACUUUCCUGGCCAACAAGGCAGGCAAGAAUGUGCAGAUGGUUCUCAUAACUCUGCUGUGGCUGAGCUCUGACUUGACCCACGCAAUGGAGGGACUCAGCAAGUGUGUUGGACUUAGAGCUUCUGUCCAUAGGAGGUAUCUGUUAGAGUGACUGCUGGUUCCCAGAGCACCCCUCCAGCAGCCUGUAUUCUUUUCUCACUGCUCUCACAAAACACUUGCCAAAGGCGACCUAAAGCAGGCUUUCUUUCAGGUCUCAGUUUGAGACCACAGUUCGUCAUGGAGGCAGGACAUGCGACAAAAGUGUGACUCAGCUGUGAAAACUUCCCAGCUGUCAAGAAACUGAGGGGAUGAAUACUGGUACUCAGUCUGAUUUCUUUUUUGUCUUCAGUCUAUGACCCAAGCCAUGGGAUAAUGUCACCUAUGUUUAGGGGUCUACUCAGGCUUAAGAAUGUGAGCCUCCCUGUCCCUGCUGACUUCACUAAGCUGCAACUAACUGGGAAACCUGUAUAUCUAUCCACAUCUAACAGAUCUUGUUCCCCCAGUCCUCAAACACAUUUGAGAUUUGAGAAUAUGGCACUUAAUAUAAAAGCCUUUUUAUGAUGAAGAGACAUGUCAGCUCCUGGCAGCAUCUUGUAUCUCCUCCAAGAAGAUAAAAGGCCGCAGAACUGCCACCUGGAAGCUAAUGGCAAGGCUGGCCACACAGCGAAAAGCUGAGAUCCUGUCCAGACUGUGAAUAAGUGGAACAACGGAGGACGGAUUGCCCCAUACUGCAAAGUCAAGAUUCAUUGUUCCCACCUGACCUCCAGAGAAACAGCAGAUGCCAUGGCUUCUAUAUUCCUGAUUGGUGUGCCAUUUCCCCCCAGGCUCCUGGAACACCACCGCUGCAGCCUGCCUCCUCGGCUCCCUCAAGGAACGUUCCUGAGAUCGUCCUUCGUGCGUGACUCCUGGUUCCCCCUUUCCACUUCACCCCUUGUCAACUUGAAGUAGUCUUGAGAAUCCAGUGCCCUUGUUCCCCCACUUGCUCACAUAACUCACCUCUUUUUAUAGUAAUCAAAAAGGAGGAAUAGCCGGGCAGUGGUGGCACACGCCUUUAAUCCCAG